rnacentral:rRNA from 1 species
GAUGAACGCUGGCGGCGUGCUUAACACAUGCAAGUCGAACGGAAAGCCCCUUCGGGGGAAUUCGAGUGGCGAACGGGUGAGUAACACGUGGGCAAUCUGCCCCUCACUCUGGGAUAACUCGGGGAAACUCGAGCUAAUACCGGAUACUUCGUCGAGGUCGCAUGGCCAUGACGAGAAAGCUCCGACGGUGAGGGAUGAGCCCGCGGCCCAUUAGCUUGUUGGUGAGGUAACGGCUCACCAAGGCGACGAUGGGUAGCCGAGCUGAGAGGCUGAUCGGACACACUGGGACUGAGACACGGCCGAGACUCCGACGGGAGGCAGCAGUGGGGAAUCUUGCGCAAUGGGCGAAAGCCUGACGCAGCAACGCCGCGUGUGGGAUGAAGGCUUUCGGGUCGUAAACCACUUUCAGCAGGGAUGAAACUGACAGUACCUGCAGAAGAAGCCCCGGCUAAAUACGUGCCAGCAGCCGCCGUAAGAC